GCAAAUGUAGCUCAUCGGGUAGAGCAUCAGACUGAUAAUCUGAGUGUAGCAGGUUCGAAUCCUGCCAUUUGACC
rnacentral:tRNA from 1 species